AGAGUUUGAUCCUGGCUCAGAACGAACGCUGGCGGCAGGCUUAACACAUGCAAGUUGAACGGGAUUUGUAUGGUGCUUGCACCAUGUAAUGAGAGUAGCGCACUGGUGAGUAACACGUGGGAACAUACCUUGAAGUGGGGGACAACAGUUGGAAACGACUGCUAAUACCGCAUAAUCCCUGAGGGGGAAAGAUUUAUCGCUUUAAGAUUGGCCCGCGGAAGAUUAGGUAGUUGGUGGGGUAAAGGCCUACCAAGCCGACGAUCUAUAGCUGGUCUGAGAGGACGAACAGCCACAUUGGAACUGAGACACGGUCCAGACUCCUACGGGAGGCAGCAGUGAGGAAUAUUGGGCAAUGGAGGAAACUCUGACCCAGCCAUGCCGCGUGAGUGAAGAAGGUUUUCGAAUUGUAAAGCUCUUUCGGAUGGGACGAUGAUGACGGUACCAUCUAAAGAAGCCCCGGCAAACUUCGUGCCAGCAGCCGCGGUAAUACGAAGGGGGCAAGCGUUGUUCGGAAUUACUGGGCGUAAAGGGUGUGUAGGCGGAUUUGUAAGAUAGUGGUGAAAUACCUGAGCUCAACUUAGGAAUUGCCAUUAUAACUAUAGAUCUGGAGUGACAGAGAGGAUAUUGGAAUACCCAGUGUAGAGGUGAAAUUCGUAGAUAUUGGGUAGAACACCAGUGGCGAAGGCGAGUAUCUGGCUGUCAACUGACGCUGAGGCACGAAAGCAUGGGGAUCAAACAGGAUUAGAUACCCUGGUAGUCCAUGCUGUAAACGAUGAAUGCUAGUUGUCGGCGUAAGCCGGUGACGCAGUUAACGCGAUAAGCAUUCCGCCUGGGGAGUACGGUCGCAAGAUUAAAACUCAAAGGAAUUGACGGGGACCCG
rnacentral:rRNA from 1 species